GACCGAUGUGGCGCAGUGGAAGCGCGACUGCCUGCGACGCAGACGGUUCUGGAUUCGAUUCCCGGUACCCA